GACGAACGCUGGCGGCGUGCUUAACACAUGCAAGUCGAACGGAAAGGCCCUGCUUUUGUGGGGUGCUCGAGUGGCGAACGGGUGAGUAACACGUGAGUAACCUGCCCUUGACUUUGGGAUAACCUCAGGAAACUGGGGCUAAUACCGGAUAGGAGCUCUUGCUGCAUGGUGGGGGUUGGAAAGUUUCGGCGGUUGGUGUUGGACUCGCGGCUUAUCAGCUGGUUGGUGGGGUAGUGGCUUACCAAGGCUUUGACGGGUAGCCGGCCUGGGAGGGUCACCGGCCCCAUUGGGCCUGAGCUACGACCCAGACUCGUACGGGAGGCAGCGGUGGAGAGUAUUGCACAAUAGGCGGAAGCCUGAUGCAGCACCGCCGCGUGCGGGAUGACGGCCUUCGGGUAGUAAACCGCUUUCGCCUGAGACGAAGCGUGAGUGACGGUAAUGGGUAAAGAAGCACCGGCUAACUACGUG
rnacentral:rRNA from 1 species